rnacentral:lncRNA from 1 species
AUGGCAAGCCUGAAUUUCUACUUCUGCCUUGCCUUGGUUUUCCUCAUUGUUUCUAGGUCAGAAAGUCGUCCCCUCGACACCAAUCUAGAGAGGAAGAAUAUGACUAGCAUAUUAUUGAGACUAUUGUUUCAAAGAUCAAAAGAACACAAGCUAAGGUUUCAAGAAGAUGAUGCAGUGGUUGUUGGAAGCCCUUACCACACAAUGCGACGAAGUCCUGGAGGACCCGACCCUGCUCAUCACUGA